UAACGCGUGGUCAACCUACCGUUGAGUGGGGGAUAACUAGCCGAAAGGUUAGCUAAUACCGCAUACGUCUCCGAGUGGCAUCACUUGGCGAUAAAAGGAGCAAUCCGCUCGAUGACGGGACCGCGUCCCAUUAGCUAGAUGGUGGGGUAACGGCCUACCAUGGCACCGAUGGGUAGCUGGUUUGAGAGGAUGAUCAGCCACAUUGGGACUGAGACACGGCCCAA
rnacentral:rRNA from 1 species